UUGUUCCCGUGGUGUAGGUAGCACAUUAGGUUUUCGUCCUGGGGGCAUACAGUUAGUGUAUCGGGAA
rnacentral:tRNA from 1 species